rnacentral:sRNA from 1 species
UCAGCAGCCCUGGAGACUGAAGUCCUUAUUUGAUCCACAGAAGAGAGAUUUCCCCAUCCUGUCCUACUGCUGGGCUUCAGCAGUGAUCUGGCAAGAUCACCUCUCUGAAUAAGAAGGAACUUCAUUUUCCAUGCCCUGAAAAUACAGGCUGCU